rnacentral:rRNA from 1 species
AUUGAACGCUGGCGGAAUGCUUUACACAUGCAAGUCGAACGGCAGCACGGGGGCAACCCUGGUGGCGAGUGGCGAACGGGUGAGUAAUGUAUCGGAACGUACCCAGUCGUGGGGGAUAACUAUCCGAAAGGAUAGCUAAUACCGCAUACGUCCUGAGGGAGAAAGCGGGGGAUCGCAAGACCUCGCGCGAUUGGAGCGGCCGAUAUCGGAUUAGCUAGUUGGUGAGGUAAAGGCUCACCAAGGCGACGAUCCGUAGCGGGUCUGAGAGGACGACCCGCCACACUGGAACUGAGACACGGUCCAGACUCCUACGGGAGGCAGCAGUGGGGAAUUUUGGACAAUGGGGGAAACCCUGAUCCAGCCAUUCCGCGUGAGUGAAGAAGGCCUUCGGGUUGUAAAGCUCUUUCAGCAGGAACGAAACGGUCGGCUUUAAUAAAGUCGGCUAAUGACGGUACC